rnacentral:rRNA from 1 species
CCCUUAGAUGUCCUGGGCCGCACGCGCGCUACACUGAUGCAUUCAACGAGUUUUUCCUUGGCCGAGAGGCCUGGGCAAUCUUUUAAACGUGCAUCGUGAUAGGGAUAGAUUAUUGCAAUUAUUAAUCUUGAACGAGGAAUUCCUAGUAAACGCAAAUCAUCAAUUUGCAUUGAUUACGUCCCUGCCCUUUGUACACACCGCCCGUCGCACCUACCGAUUGAAUGGUCCGGUGAAGCCUCGGGAUUGUGGCCAGUUCACUUUAUUGGGAGUUGGCUGCGAGAACUUGUCUAAACCUUAUCAUUUAGAGGAAGGUGAANUCGUAACA